UACGUAGGGUGCAAGCGUUAAUCGGAAUUACUGGGCGUAAAGCGUGCGCAGGCGGCUUUGCAAGACAGAUGUGAAAUCCCCGGGCUUAACCUGGGAACUGCAUUUGUGACUGCAUGGCUAGAGUACGGUAGAGGGGGGUAGAAUUCCGCGUGUAGCAGUGAAAUGCGUAGAUAUGCGGAGGAAUACCGAUGGCGAAGGCAGUCCCCUGGGUCGAUACUGACGCUCAUGCACGAAAGCGUGGGGAGCAAACAGG
rnacentral:rRNA from 1 species